rnacentral:lncRNA from 1 species
AAAAAAAAUAGUAUCUUUGUCAUGUUUGUUGUCGAAAUAAACACCUGCUUUAUCCAUUCAUGUACAUGGCUCCAUCAUAUCAAAUAUACAAAGAAGAUGUUUGAAGAACAUGUUGCCAAAAUUUAUUCAACCAAUUGAAGGAAGAUGUCUUGUGGAUUGAAUUAUUUAUGCACUGAACUGUUAUGUAGGGGGUCGAAUACACAGCAGCUGAAACAGAAGAC